UGUUGCCAAGGGAUUGCCAUCCACACACAUGCAUAUGCAUGGGCAUACAGUGUGUCCAGAAAGUGUUUGUACACUUGGGAUUUGAAUAUGUAAAUUUCAUUAAGUGAUGGAUUUUUUGUUGUUACUGAAAAAAAGAGAAAAGGGAGUGAAAUGAGUUCUAAAUGCUAUUUAAUUAUUUUUCUGUUUUUGGGCAAGCAAAUUUAGACUAGGAAUCACCAAGUGUCGGCUCUAAACAAUACAAUUUGAACUUUUAAAACUGUUGGUUUCUAAGUUAGACAGAGUUUUUCAGCAUAAAUGUUUUCUCGAACACCUGUAACUUUCCAAAAAUCCUCUAUAAUGUCACCAAAGCUAGCUAUAAUGUUGGAGAAAUGUAUCUUCCUCCAUAAAAACGAACCCUUAUAUGAAGUCUUGUCCAUCAAUUCAACAAAUCUUAAAACCUUUGAAACCCCUCAAGAGGGUGCACAAACCCAAUCAAGUACCCUUGUCGAAACACUUUCUUGGCCCACUGUACCUGCGAAUGGAAUAACUUUAUCAUGCAAUGUUAUGCAUUACCUCAAAGCAACAUAAGUACUCGUGCGCAUAGAUACAUAUGUAUUCUGCAACAUGAGGCUUAGCGAAGAUGCGAGUUUUUAAUGGCCAUGUUCAUGAUACCCUUGUGGAGGAAAGUGCUCCUCUGAUGGGAGAGAUCAAACUACAAUCAAAUAUUGUCUGAUGCAACCCCGUAGCGAAUUGAGUGUCUCUUCAAAUAAACAAAAUGUUCCCACAACAACCUGUGUUGCUAAGGAGGCUCGUUCGUCACAGCCGACUGAUAAUAGUGUUUCCGACUCGUAAAUAUUAUGUAUGUAUGUACUUGGACGUACCCCCUGGAAGGGUACAAGUUACAAAUUACUCGCUCGAUUUUACAUUUUAUUUGUUAUCAGCUGUUGGCUGAGCGAUUAUCUCAAAGUACACACACUUUUUGCUGCUGCGGAUGUAUUCGAAGCUCUUGAUACGUGAAUACACAUAUUGUAGUGCUCUCCACAUAAUUGGAUUUAGUUUCGUGGUCUUGAACUUUCAUCAAACAGUUUGCGGAAUGCAAAACAAAUAUAAACGUUUUAUUAAAAAAGUUAUGCAUCUACUAAUAGUCGAAUUAAAGUUCUCACUUAAAGUUCUACUCGUUUACUCGUUAGUACUUCAACAAAAAUAGGAUUAAUGCUUCGCCAGAGCCA